UACGUAGGGUGCAAGCGUUGUCCGGAAUUAUUGGGCGUAAAGAGCUCGUAGGCGGUUUGUCGCGUCUGCUGUGAAAACUGGAAGCUCAACUUCCAGCCUGCAGUGGGUACGGGCAGACUAGAGUGCGGUAGGGGAGAACGGAAUUCCUGGUGUAGCGGUGGAAUGCGCAGAUAUCAGGAGGAACACCGAUGGCGAAGGCAGUUCUCUGGGCCGUUACUGACGCUGAGGAGCGAAAGCGUGGGGAGCGAACAGGAUUAGAUACCCUGGUAGUCCACGCCGUAAACGGUGGGUGCUAGCUGUGGGCCACAUUCCACGUGGUCCGUGACGAAGUUAACACAUUAAGCACCCCGCCUGGGGAGUACGGCCGCAAGGCUAAAACUCAAAGGAAUUGACGGGGGCCCGCACAAGCGGCGGAGCAUGCGGAUUAAUUCGAUGCAACGCGAAGAACCUUACCAAGGCUUGACAUAUAGAGGAAAAGUGCAGAAAUGUACUCCCCGCAAGGUCUCUAUACAGGUGGUGCAUGGUUGUCGUCAGCUCGUGUCGUGAGAUGUUGGGUUAAGUCCCGCAACGAGCGCAACUCUCGUCCUAUGUUGCCAGCACGUAAUGGUGGGAACUCAUGGGAUACUGCCGGGGUCAACUCGGAGGAAGGUGGGGACGACGUCAAA
rnacentral:rRNA from 1 species